AGGCUGCGCUGGGCCCCUCCCUCUGUCCGGCAGCUGCUGGGAGCGGGGUCUCAGCUUGGGGCCAUUGGUUUGGGCCAGGGCAGGUUUAGUGUCAGCGAGAUGCCAGCAGCCAUGGCCCGGCCCAGCCUGAGCCAGGGCUCCCCCAGCCUCCAUCCCCUGCCCGGGAGCCGCUGGGGUCCGGCCCGGCCUCCCCCAGGCCGUACAGGCCGCGGGGAAGUGGGGCUGGCCCCACCAGAGCUGCAUUACCUUUCGAGGCUGGAACAAAAAAGGAGAGAGUUCCUAGGCUUGUGUUUUUAAAAUGCGGAUCUCACAGAGAAUACAGUCUAUCACCGACAAAGAGAAGCCUGACUUCAUUAACUAUGAACACUGCACACCCCCUCUAUGACAACAAACUCAAAUUACAGGAAGGACGCCAAAUACAGUUUAUAUGAGGAAGAAGAGAAACCAGGUCCCCUUGUCAGAACUGAGUCUACUGAACUACUUCAAACUGGUUGGUAAGGGCCAAACUCCUAUGACUGUUGCAGGAAGAUUAAAGGUAGUUUUGAAAUCCUCUCUGUCCUCUGUCAUCAACUCUGCUGGGAAUAUUUUUGAUAUUCCAAAACAAAGGAAAACUUAUUUUCGUUUUCUCAGUGAAAAGGUAGCAAUUGUUGUGGCCUUUGCCAGUUUAUCAGAGAUUAAAUCAUGACUUGAGUAUAGUGAAGAUCAGCAAACAUCAGCUAAAAAUGUAUACUCUGCACAUCUUAGGAUUUGACUUCAUUUCAUUUCAUUAACUUGUUGCCAAAAAUGUGGUAAAGUGAGCAAGAAGCCCAAACCCUCCACUAAGUUAAAGCAGCUUUAACUUUGGAAUACCUGAUCUGGACCUUCAUCAAUUCUGAGCCCUGCUUCAGUACUGAGUACUAAACCACAUGAUAAUAUUUUGAAUCUUGGGCAUAAAUUCAAAUUCUUAUGUGACAUCACCUUUGUAACUUAGUUGAACCUCCUGAGAGCAAUGGGCAUAUUUGCUUUCCCUUCCUUAUGUUUUUGCUGUAUGUUUGUGAAUUUCUUUCCUCAGCUGAAAGUAUAUGUUCAUAGUUCCAAGAGAGUUACUGCCCAGAAAUAACUGGUUUUAAAGGAUUAAGAAUCCAAAUAUAGUGUGGUAAAUAAAGAACAAAGGUGACCCUUGUGUAGGCUUCACCUUUCUUACAACAAUA